GCUGGGCAUGGUGGCUCAUGCCUGUAAUCCCAGUGCUUUGGGAGGCUGAGGUGGGAGCAUCACUUGAGCCCAGGAGUUUGAGACCAGCCUGGGAAAUACAGUGAGACCCCAUCUCUA
rnacentral:SRP_RNA from 1 species